AUUCAAGUCACUGGGGCUGAUUUGGCUGAGCUAUUGCAACAAAUGAACUUCUUUUUCUGGCUCUUAUAACACUUCACAGAUCGUUCUGCCUUUUCACAUCUAAAGGCUACUUGUGAAUGGAUUUCUCUGGGAUCUGCACACCCUAACAUGGAUGUCCCACCAUUCCUUGCAUCGGAAGCUUUCUUCUUGGCGCAGUGAAUGAAGAACAUGCAGUGAUUGCUAAUGGAUUUGGGAAGCGUAUAUUCUGUUCCCUAAGUGGCCAUGCCGUGAUCCUCACUGAGGGCCAUCACCCUGCUUAACGUCAAUAUAACUAUUCUGGGGAAUCUAAACAGUAGGGAAUAAACGCGGUGUAUUAUACAAACAACAUGAAGAUCACCUCCCCAAUUCUAACUAAUCUGAUCUUCAGGUGCCUCAUUAGGCUUCAUCUGCUGAUAUUACUGUGUGUGGGAUAUUCUCAUGGGAUGCCGCACGUUUUAAGAUUUGGGGGUAUUUUUGAAUCUGUAGAAUCUGGUCCUUCAGGAGCAGAGGAAUUAGCCUUCAAAUUUGCUUUAAAUACAAUCAACAGAAACAGGACACUACUGCCAAACACAACGCUAACAUAUGACAUCCAAAGGAUAAACAUCUAUGACAGUUUUGAAGCUUCUAGAAAAGCCUGUGAUCAGCUCUCUCUGGGGGUGGCAGCCAUCUUUGGUCCUUCACAUAGUUCUUCAGCCAAUGCUGUACAGUCCAUCUGCAAUGCACUGGGAGUUCCUCACAUACAGACAAAAUGGAAGCACCAAGUCUCAGACAACAGGGACUCUUUCUAUGUCAGCCUUUAUCCCGAUUUCUCUUCACUCAGUCGAGCAAUCCUGGACUUGGUCCACUUCUUCAAAUGGAAAACGGUCACCAUUGUAUACGACGACAGCACAGGUCUCAUUCGAUUACAAGAGCUCAUCAAGGCCCCAUCGCGCUACAACAUUCGAUUGAAAAUCCGGCAGUUACCAGCGGACACAAAGGAUGCCAAGCCUUUGCUGAAGGAAAUGAAAAGAGGAAAAGAGUUCCAUGUAAUAUUUGACUGUGGUCAUGAAAUGGCAGCUGGUAUAUUAAAGCAGGCAUUAGCUAUGGGAAUGAUGACAGAAUAUUACCAUUACAUUUUCACAACACUGGACCUCUUUGCCCUGGAUGUGGAGCCUUAUCGCUACAGUGGUGUUAACAUGACAGGAUUCCGAAUCUUAAACACUGAAAACACCCAAGUAGCUUCAAUAAUUGAGAAGUGGUCGAUGGAGCGGCUCCAAGCGCCUCCCAAACCAGACUCAGGUUUGCUGGAUGGAUUUAUGACGACUGAUGCAGCUUUAAUGUACGACGCAGUUCAUGUGGUGGCGGUGGCCGUCCAGCAGUCUCAGCAGAUAACUGUCAGUUCGUUACAGUGCAACCGGCACAAGCCCUGGCGCUUCGGGAACCGGUUCAUGGGUCUCAUUAAAGAGUUGGUAAUCCCUUGCAGCUUGGGCUGCAAACACCAUUGCACAUCUGCUAAGCCUACUUCAAGUAUGAAUAACAAAUUAGCCCACUGGGAAGGCUUAACAGGCCGGAUAACUUUCAACAAAACCAAUGGCUUGAGGACUGAUUUUGAUUUAGAUGUGAUCAGCCUGAAGGAGGAAGGCCUUGAGAAGAUUGGAACCUGGGAUCUGCCAAGUGGCUUGAAUAUGACAGAAAACCAAAAGGGAAAGACAACCAACAUCACUGACUCCCUAUCCAACCGAUCCUUGGUUGUUUCCACAAUCUUGGAAGACCCAUAUGUGAUAUUUAAGAAGUCUGAUAAACCUCUUUAUGGGAAUGAUCGGUUUGAAGGAUACUGCAUCGACCUCCUCAAGGAGCUGGCCAACAUCCUGGGAUUUACGUAUGAGAUAAGAUUGGUGGAGGAUGGGAAAUACGGAGCCCAGGAGGACACGAAUAGCGGCCAGUGGAACGGCAUGGUCAAGGAACUCAUGGACCAUAAAGCUGAUCUUGCAGUUGCUCCCCUGGCUAUCACCUAUGCCCGGGAGAAGGUCAUUGACUUCUCCAAGCCCUUCAUGACGCUGGGAAUAAGUAUUUUGUACCGCAAGCCCAAUGGUACAAACCCUGGUGUUUUCUCCUUCCUGAAUCCACUCUCUCCCGAUAUCUGGAUGUAUAUUCUGCUGGCUUACUUGGGUGUCAGUUGUGUGCUGUUUGUCAUAGCCAGGUUUAGCCCCUAUGAGUGGUAUAACCCCCACCCAUGCAAUCCUGACUCGGACGUGGUGGAAAACAAUUUCACCUUGCUAAAUAGUUUCUGGUUUGGAGUUGGAGCUCUCAUGCAGCAAGGUUCUGAGCUCAUGCCCAAAGCCCUUUCCACCAGAAUUGUUGGGGGUAUCUGGUGGUUUUUCACACUGAUCAUCAUUUCUUCAUACACUGCUAACCUAGCCGCAUUUCUAACAGUGGAACGCAUGGAAUCGCCCAUAGAUUCGGCAGACGAUUUGGCUAAACAAACGAAAAUAGAAUACGGGGUAGUGGAAGAUGGUGCCACAAUGAUGUUUUUUAAGAAAUCAAAAAUCUCAACAUAUGACAAGAUGUGGGAAUUCAUGAACAGCCGAAAACAUUCUGUGCUUGUGAAGAACAAUGAAGAAGGGAUCCAGCGUGUGCUCACCUCUGAUUAUGCCUUCUUAAUGGAGUCAACGACCAUUGAGUUUGUUACACAGCGGAACUGUAACCUCACACAGAUUGGUGGCCUUAUAGAUUCCAAGGCAUAUGGAGUCGGCACUCCCAUGGGGUCUCCUUACCGGGAUAAGAUCACCAUAGCAAUUCUCCAGCUGCAGGAGGAAGGGAAGCUCCACAUGAUGAAGGAGAAAUGGUGGAGGGGAAAUGGCUGCCCCGAAGAGGAGAGCAAAGAAGCCAGCGCCCUGGGGGUGCAGAACAUCGGUGGAAUCUUUAUCGUGCUGGCAGCAGGCCUCGUACUCUCAGUAUUUGUGGCAGUCGGAGAAUUCUUGUAUAAAUCCAAACAAAAUGCACAGCUUGAAAAGAGAAACUUGAGUAAUGAAGCUGCGCGUUGAAUGGUGCUGUUGCUGGGCUGGAGACUGGAUGGUUGCAGGAAGGACUAACGCUGGAGCUCCUGCAGCAAAAUAGAGAAGCUGAAUGAUGAGAAGAAUCAGCAGAGCAGAGGUCCUUCUGUAGCGCCAUGGUGGAUGAGCUCAGGGUGUCUCUGAAGUGUCAACGUCGUCUCAAACACAAGCCCCAGGCCCCUGUCAUAGUAAAAACAGAAGAAAUCAUCAACAUGC